rnacentral:snRNA from 1 species
GGGCUCUCACGUAACAGUGAGUCC